UUUUAUAAAAUGCAUAUUGUUUUAUUGCAAGACAUGGUUGGAUCGCCACCCCUUGAUUGUUAUGAACAUUCCUUGUUGUCCUGUGUUUAUCUCUAAAUAUGACUUGCUCUAUUUAGAUGAUAACUACUGCUAGAAUGCUUAGGAACUUGUUACUCAACUUCAAUCAUUACUACAAUGGUUUAUUUGGAGAAUGAAUGCGUGUGUGUGUUCAAAAUGGGAAAAUGGUUUUCCGGGUUCAAAGGAAAGGAAUGUGUAGAUGAGAUGGAUGGGUGUUUCUUGUGUGAAACGCCAGGGUGUUGUGCUCGUACCAUUGUGGUUAAGCAAUGUCAGGAGAUGUCCAUCUUGUCAUGUCUAAGGACCGAGUUGAUGUGUCAUCUUGCCUAAUUCAACCAUCGUGCAACCACUCGACCGUUGUAUGGGCAACGGCUUAGCAUAAAUCCCACUAGCUGAACUGUUAGUCUUCAGGGGUGUUGGUGAGCAACGGGAGCCCAUGGAAAAGGAGUAAGAUCUUGGUGACUUAGGUCCCAGUUACGGUCUCGUAGAUGAGCCGUGAACCCCUUGGGUGCUUCCAUGGGGACUAGCCAGUCUUAACUAAGGUGGGUAAUGGCUUUGUUAGGAUCCGCACCAGCACUAAGGUGAUCGUGCUGCGGUACCCUACUUGUGGGAAAAGUGUACAACCUCUGCAGAGUUAAAACCUAUCCGGGUAGCCGUGUCCACGGCAUUGGACGAGUUACGGCUCGGUCACAUAACUAGCACUUGGGGAUGGAUGGUUACAGCUGUGUGUGUGUGUGUGCGCGUUGGAUUUUGG
rnacentral:lncRNA from 1 species